GAGGGCGUGCGCCGGCCGGGAGGUGUCGGCGGCGCGGGGAGGGAAGUCUCCAGCGGAAGGUCGUCCGCCGGCCGGCGCGCCCUCGCGCUCUCCGCGGCGGCAUCAUGGCGGAGCCGAGCGGCUCGCCCGCGCACGUCCAGCAGCCCCAGCCGGCGGCCCCGGCGGCGGCCCCGGCCACCGCAGCGCCCGUGGCCCCGGCGUCCGGCUGGCCCAUCUGCAGGGACGCCUACGAGCUGCAGGAGGUCAUCGGCAGUGGCGCUACAGCUGUGGUCCAGGCUGCCCUAUGCAAACCCAGGCAAGAGCGCGUAGCAAUAAAGCGGAUCAACUUGGAAAAAUGCCAGACCAGCAUGGAUGAACUACUAAAAGAAAUUCAAGCCAUGAGUCAGUGCAGCCAUCCCAACGUAGUGACCUAUUACACCUCUUUUGUGGUAAAAGAUGAACUUUGGCUGGUCAUGAAAUUACUAAGUGGAGGUUCAAUGCUGGAUAUCAUAAAAUACAUCGUCAACCGAGGAGAACACAAGAACGGAGUUCUGGAAGAGGCAAUAAUAGCAACAAUUCUUAAAGAGGUUUUGGAAGGCUUAGACUAUCUGCACAGAAAUGGUCAGAUUCACAGGGAUUUGAAAGCUGGUAAUAUUCUUCUGGGUGAAGAUGGUUCAGUACAAAUAGCAGAUUUUGGGGUAAGUGCUUUCUUAGCAACAGGGGGUGAUGUUACCCGGAAUAAAGUAAGAAAAACAUUUGUUGGCACCCCGUGUUGGAUGGCCCCUGAAGUCAUGGAACAGGUGAGAGGCUAUGACUUCAAGGCUGACAUGUGGAGCUUUGGAAUAACUGCCAUUGAACUCGCCACAGGAGCAGCGCCGUAUCACAGAUACCCUCCUAUGAAAGUGUUGAUGUUGACUUUGCAGAACGAUCCACCCACUUUAGAAACGGGAGUAGAGGAUAAGGAGAUGAUGAAAAAGUAUGGCAAGUCCUUUAGAAAAUUACUUUCACUGUGUCUUCAGAAAGAUCCCUCCAAAAGGCCCACAGCAGCAGAACUUUUAAAAUGCAAAUUCUUCCAGAAAGCCAAGAACAGAGAGUACCUGAUUGAGAAGCUGCUUACAAGGACACCAGACAUAGCCCAAAGAGCCAAAAAGGUGAGACGAGUCCCGGGGUCAAGCGGUCACCUUCAUAAAACCGAAGACGGGGACUGGGAGUGGAGUGAUGACGAGAUGGAUGAAAAAAGUGAAGAAGGGAAAGCAGCUUUUUCUCAAGAAAAGUCACGAAGAGUAAAAGAAGAAAAUCCAGAGAUCACGGUGAAUGCCAGCAGCAUACCGGAGCAGAUACAGUCCCUUUCUGUGCAGGACUCUCAGGGCCUACCCAAUGCUAGUGAAGACUACAGAGAAGCUUCUUGCGCUGUGAACCUCGUUUUAAGAUUAAGAAACUCCAGAAAGGAGCUUAAUGAUAUACGAUUUGAGUUUACUCCAGGAAGAGGUAAGUUCUAAUUGAAGUUAUUAUUUUAUUGCUAGAAAGAGCAUUUCAGAAAUUGAUUACAAGCAUGUGGUUAUAAUUUGCUAUUCAAAAAUACGUUCUCUAAAAACAAAGAGAAGGAAGGAAAAAAGGAGGGAUUUGCAAUAAUUGCGGGGAAUCCAAACCAAACCCACUACUGACCGCAUGAAUUCCGGUGACAUGUGCUACACAGGAGAUACACAUUUGUAAAUUAAAUCUGUUAGCUCGACCAUGAAAAGCAGUUCUGGUGCAGUAAUGCAGGGCCUAGAGGACACUUGGAUGAGUGUGAAGAGAUGCGCACAGUGGUCUUAAUUAGGGUUGAGCAACAGACAAUGACAUCAGACCAGAAGGUAGCGUACUUUGCUCCUCUAUUGUCGGUUCAGAUUACAGGAAGCCUAUGUUGAGGAGAGUCUGGGCCUCUGACUGCUGUCGGCACCACUAGGAGGCUUGGUAGGAACAGUGCCAGUCUUGCAGCUGAAUAUAAUUUUAGUAUUUUGAGUAGUUACUAAACUAGUUUCAAGGCUAGACUGGUUGCUCUUUUAGCGCCUGGGUGCUUGGAAGUCAUCGAGCCAUGACCUGUUUCUUGGGGUCGCUAGCACCUGGCAGGCUCCUGGUGUGCAGGAGCAUCUCCAGUCCUUUUGGUUAAUUAAUGGGUACAGGCUUUGGAGAUCACAAGACUACUUGUUAAACAAAAAUUGCUUUUUCUACUCUGUAGUUCAUAACGAGAACAAUCUAGAGAAGUGAAAAUCAGAUGCUAAUGCUAAGACCGUAGUUGCUCACGUUGACCUCUGGUUUCAGACUUUUAUAUAGGUGAAAACAGCCUCAAUAUCUCAUUAGUCUCAUACUUUGAACGUAUUAAUAUAUGUAAGCUAAUAACACUCUCUAAUUAUUUUAUGUAUUAGAACUCCAUGUAAAUUGCGAUUUGAUUAAAUAGAUUGUCUUUGAGAAAAUUUUGAAAACCUGAAACUUUCUAGCUUGAUAGCUAGUCAAUCAGUUACAUGUUUGACCUCGCUGCUAUUAAUCACCUGUAGGAAGACACAAACUCAGAUGCCUACAGGAGCCAAAGUGAAUGGUGGGAACGUCAGAAAACCAGAGGGUUCUAUCUAAAUACAUUCAGGUUCAGUUUAGAAAAAACACUGCCCACCAAACAAAAUAUGUUCCUGGGCCGUAGGUGGUCACAGACUCACUCCCCCGAUUUCUCGUCUCCUGUACGCACCAAGGCUUCAUGAUUUCCGGUAUAUCUGAAUUAAACUAUCAUGUGAAGUCACUUUUACAAAAGAAAUAAGGCCCUAGUGAGUUUGCUAACCGAUCUUUCUUUCUGGGAACAGUCUUUGACAAUUUAGAGUCAGUCUGUGAAAUUGCACCGUUGUCGGUUGCUGUUAUCAAAAAGCUAUUUUGUCGUAAUAUAAAGAUAUUGACCAGCUAAUACUGUGAUAAAAAUCUAGCAAUUAUAUAAUAAAUGUUUCAAGUAUAGUAAAUAAAAGAAGUUUCUUAUUUUAAAGUUGCUUUUUCUUUUUUGAUCUGAUUGUUUAAAAUUGACAGUGGCAUUAAAAAACAAUGUUAAUUUCAAAAGUAACAAAGAAAUGAAUUUCUGAGUUGAGGAUUGCUGGGGAUAAGACGGCCCUAUCAGCAUUACCUGACCCUUCGUGCUGACUUUGGCAGCCUUGUCUGCCAUGGUGAGACUCAGAGUCUUUGCUUUUGUAGCCCAGACAGAAACCAUAGUGCUGGCCUUCCCUGUGCAGCGAGCACAGCCUGCUUCGUUUCAGAAAUACCAUGGCCGUAUCACCGUACCUCUGCGAUGCCUGAUGCUGUCUGCAUCUGAGAUGUUGUCUGUGUUCGAUGUGUGCACGCACACCACGUGCACUGUCUCUGCUGUAUACACACAUGUAUGUGGCAUCGAAUGUAUAACGUGAAUGUAUCAAAUAUCCUGUCGUCACUUGAGGGCAAGCCCUCUGUGUUUAUUAUGUUGCUGUAAUGGUCUAUAAAGCAGAGCAUACGUGAUCUUUUAUGACUAUUUAACCUGUUUACACAUUGGGAAUGUUAAGCAGCUUGAAGAAAAAUUACCAAUUACCCUCAAGUUUUUGUUCUCAACUAUUACUAUGUUACUUAACAUGCAUGAAAAAGAACUACUUAAUAGCACACACACAAACAAGGAAUGUUUUCAUUUUUGACCAACCAGCACGACCCGUUUGCUAUUUUAAUAUGAGUCAUGCGGUACCCAAGAGUCCUGAAAAUAUUCGGAGAGGCUGUACACUUCAAUCACUUGGGAGUGCUGUCUGCUUCGGUGCUGCUUUAGUGCUAGCCCUCCGUGUGACUUUGUUGACUACUCCGUUCUCAACUACCUUCUUUGAUUAUAGCUCCUCACUCAAGUGUAAGAUCUUACUGAUACUUCAGAAAUGGUGGUAACACUUCCAGUUGCUUUUACGGAUGAUCAGUCAGGAGAAGUGUAACCACUGCCUACUGUGUGCCCGGUAUCUACGAGGCAGGCACUUGCAUUCAAUAGGCUUCUUUUCCUGGAGUCUCUAGCAGCAUCCAGGAAGAUGGAGAUUGAGAGGCUGAAUGUUCUUGACAACUUUAUAAAGCUACAUCAUUUUCAGAGUAGAGCUUUUUGUUGUGCUACCCUAGGUUCCAUACUAUGAGAUGGUUUUAUCUCUGAGAGAAUUUUAUAAGGUGUUUCCUGUACUUCUCACAGUAAGGACAAGGCCCAAGAUAAGCCCACCUUAUAUGGAAUUUCGUUGUUUAGUAAAAUUCCUGUGUUUUUCUUUUCCAUUUCCUCCAUUUAUUCCAUUUCACUGAAUGAAUAAAAUGAUAGAAUACCACAAUUUCUCUGAAAGUACAAAGGAUAUAUAUUAAGUCUCAAAUUUUUAUCGGAGAUUUAGGAAAUGGGGCCGUGUGUGAGAGGGAGAAAGAGCACAAGGGUGUCAGGUGCAUUUCAGAUGGUCUUUGGCCGCCUCCUCAUCAGUUACCAUUUACUGAGGAAUUACUGAGUCAGACACUGGGCUGAGCACAUUAAAGCCCACUGUGAAAGGUAACUGUACCUUCACAGCUCCGUGCUCACGUGCGUACAGGUACACACACACACGCAACAUACACACUUGAGCCCACUUACGUAGUCACCACAUUUGAAACACAGACUCAGCAGGGAAACCCAGUCGCUGUGGAGGGCAGCCUUCGGCAUAGCAAACCGCAGUUCAGUUCAGGUGCUUGUUUGAUUCCGCAGCUGUGCCCAGUUUCUUCUCAUCCGGCUGUAGUGCUGGGUAUUUGUGAGACCAUCAGACCGCCACGGAGGCCACAUCGCCUCUCUCGUGAACACACAGGGAUACGGCAGACGGCGUUUCUCAGGAGCUCUUCUCUGCUGGUUUGGUCGAUGGUCAUGAUGUGGUUAUAGUGGCUGCUAAUUUACAGAAGAUUGUAGA